rnacentral:rRNA from 1 species
GUUUUAACCUUGCGGCCGUACUCCCCAGGCGGUCGACUUAUCGCGUUAGCUGCGCCACUAAGAUCUCAAGGAUCCCAACGGCUAGUCGACAUCGUUUACGGCGUGGACUACCAGGGUAUCUAAUCCUGUUUGCUCCCCACGCUUUCGCACCUCAGUGUCAGUAUCAGUCCAGGUGGUCGCCUUCGCCACUGGUGUUCCUUCCUAUAUCUACGCAUUUCACCGCUACACAGGAAAUUCCACCACCCUCUACCGUACUCUAGCUCAGUAGUUUUGGAUGCAGUUCCCAGGUUGAGCCCGGGGAUUUCACAUCCAACUUGCUGAACCACCUACGCGCGCUUUACGCCCAGUAAUUCCGAUUAACGCUUGCACCCUUCGUAUUACCGCGGCUGCUGGCACGAAGUUAGCCGGUGCUUAUUCUGUUGGUAACGUCAAAACAGCAAGGUAUUAACUUACUGCCCUUCCUCCCAACUUAAAGUGCUUUACAAUCCGAAGACCUUCUUCACACACGCGGCAUGGCUGGAUCAGGCUUUCGCCCAUUGUCCAAUAUUCCCCACUGCUGCCUCCCGUAGGAGUCUGGACCGUGUCUCAGUUCCAGUGUGACUGAUCAUCCUCUCAGACCAGUUACGGAUCGUCGCCUUGGUAGGCCUUUACCCCACCAACUAGCUAAUCCGACCUAGGCUCAUCUGAUAGCGUGAGGUCCGAAGAUCCCCCACUUUCUCCCUCAGGACGUAUGCGGUAUUAGCGCCCGUUUCCGGACGUUAUCCCCCACUACCAGGCAGAUUCCUAGGCAUUACUCACCCGUCCGCCGCUGAAUCCAGGAGCAAGCUCCCUUCAUCCGCUCGACUUGCAUGUGUUAGGCCUGCCGCCAGCGUUCAAUCUGAGCCAGGAUCAAACCCUC